rnacentral:rRNA from 1 species
UACGUAGGGUGCAAGCGUUAUCCGGAAUUAUUGGGCGUAAAGAGCUCGUAGGCGGUUUGUCGCGUCUGCUGUGAAAACUGGAGGCUCAACCUCCAGCCUGCAGUGGGUACGGGCAAACUAGAGUGCGGUAGGGGAGAUUGGAAUUCCUGGUGUAGCGGUGGAAUGCGCAGAUAUCAGGAGGAACACCGAUGGCGAAGGCAGAUCUCUGGGCCGUAACUGACGCUGAGGAGCGAAAGCAUGGGGAGUGAACAGG